AGUCCUUCUGUAAAGAAGAGUUGAAGGCUGAAGCCCACGCUUACUCAAUAUGGGGCAUGCUUGCCAGCUCCGUCUUGUCAUUUAUCUCUUGGUGGAUGAUGGGAGGAGGGAAGUGGCUCUCAAGAGACAACUAAAAUGGUGCUUUAAGAAAUCCUCAGCCAAUAAAAAGUUGCUUACAGAGGGCCUUGCCAUCCUUCAAAGAGAGAAGCCAACUCUUCCAUGAAGGCCUUCUGAUCACUCCAGCUGAUAUCUUGUUCCUGUCCAGUGAUCUAUUUCAUCACGCUACGUCACUUCUAAGGUAAAAUGAUGCGAAGAACUGAUUCAUUGGAAAAGACCCUGUUGCUGGGAAAGACUGAGGGCAGGAGGAGAAGGGGACGACAGAGGAUGAAAUGGUUGGAUGGCAUCACCGACUGGAUGGACAUGAGUUUGAGCAAGCUCCAGGAGUUGGUGAUGGACAGGAAGAUCCACAUGCCUCGGGGCAACUAGGCUGUAUGUGCCCCAACUUCUGACCUUGUGCUCUGGAGCCCAGGAGCCGUAACUACUGUGCCCGCGUGCUGCAAAUACUGAAGCCCACACACACCCUGG
ensembl:lncRNA